rnacentral:rRNA from 1 species
UACGGAGGGUGCAAGCGUUGUUCGGAAUCAUUGGGCGUAAAGAGCUUGUAGGCGGUUUGUCGCGUCUGCUGUGAAAUUUCGGGGCUCAACCCCGAACUUGCAGUGGGUACGGGCAGACUAGAGUGUGGUAGGGGAGACUGGAAUUCCUGGUGUAGCGGUGAAAUGCGCAGAUAUCAGGAGGAACACCGAUGGCGAAGGCAGGUCUCUGGGCCAUAACUGACGCUGGGGAGCGAAAGCGUGGGGAGCGAACAGG